rnacentral:lncRNA from 1 species
UCCGAAUUGGCACCCGCUGCUGCAUUUACCUCUGCUGGUUUUGGCCAACGACAUUUCUUAUCUGCAUGUCCCAAUUACACAACAAAACGUGUUUACAUACCGAUGCGCCUCAUAUUCGAUAGCCUACACCCCCGCGCAAGCGCCCACCACUGUUCUUAUGUGCAGUCACUGGAUUCAGACUGCACGGGUGUGAAAGGAGAUGCAAUGAUGGCUACCGCUGCAGAAGAACUAUGCCAAUCCCCUUGUCCCAUUUCUGAGCGCAAUGUCACGACAGUUUCCAUCAAAAUUACGAGGAAAAACCAGGAUAAACCCUGGAAAUUGAGAUUAAUUUACCUGCAGUGUUAUUGUAUGUCAAUUGCAACCAUACUGGGAACUGGAAUCUUAGGACUUCCUGUCACAAUAGCACAUGCUGGACUUGUGCCUUUCCUGGUCUCCUUUAUAAUUGGUUUCUUUGUGCAGGCUCUCCUCAUAUACCUAUUUGUUGACCUACUCCAGCGAUGCGAAGUUGCCCAAAUUGAGUCACUAAAGAGCACAGAGACUGAGCGGAUUUUAUUACAAGACAUUGGGUUGGAGGAGCCUGCUGUCACUAACACAGAAGAGGAUGAUGAUGAAGGUGACGAAGCAGACACUGGCCUACUGCAGAAGGACGCAGCCAGCUGCCAGACACCGGAGGAGAAGCUGCACCCUAAUCUCCAUGUGUUGGGAGUCCUCUUCCUCAGCAAGCCCAUGAGCCAUGCCUUCAACUUCAUCCUGCUCUUCCAGUUCCAUAUCUACGUCAUUCCUGCCUUUACCUGGACACUCUCUCUUACAAUCCUGUUGGCUCAGAUUGUCAUUCAGCCAAUCACAUCGCUGCUGACCCUUCUGAAAGGCAUCAUGCUGAUCAUCACAGUAGCCGUGACAUUUGCUGUGGGGUCAGAGGUUCAACAGGCGACCACGAAUGACUUCAGCCAAAUUGGGAAGCCUUUCCUAAUGGGCACGGUUGCACUGGGGGGGAUUGUCAAUGUGAUGCCUCUCCUGUUUUCAGAAAUAUCCCAGAACAAGACACAGAUCAUGUGGUUCAGAAGAGUCAUAUUGGGAGGACUUGCCACAUGCGCAGUUCUGAAUAUAUUGUGGUGCUGGGCUGUUCUAGAAAUUGUCCCGCAGAUGUCUAUACAGAGGGUUUUGAAGGUUGGGGUGAACACCACCAGCGAUAUGAUGUCUGAGUCCUCUGCAACAGGCUACACCCUGAUCUUCUCCAAUAUCUCCCUGGAGGCGUGAGUGCGCUGCAUCACAUUGUUCUGUAUGGUCUGGCAUAGACCCUGUAGUCUAGGUUGAACA